rnacentral:rRNA from 1 species
UCCGAAGGAGGCAAGCGUUGUUCGGAAUUAUUGGGCGUAAAGGGCAUGUAGGCGGCUUGUUAAGUUGGGGGUGAAAGCGCAGAGCUCAACUGUGGAACUGCCAUUGAUACUGGUAGACUUGAGUGCAGGAGAGGGUGUUGGAAUGUGUGGUGUAGAGGUGAAAUGCUUAGAUAUUAGGAAGAACACCAGUGGCGAAGGCGAAUGGCUAUGCCGGAAGUGACGCUGAGGCGCGAAAGCGUGGGGAGAAAACAGG